UCCUGCUGCGUCUGGAGCUCGGCGUCUCCCCGAGCCGCCCGGCUCCGCGCCUCCCACCUCCUCCCUCCGCCCAGCGCUCCCCCACCCCUCCACCCCCGCCCUCUGCUUGCUGCGGCCUCGCCGGUGACGAGCUACUGUAAGUGUGACUUGCUUAAACGAAGUCGCACACCCACGGAGGGAAGUAAUCUGCAGGCUGCCGUGGACUCACUGAGCUCUGCCUGGUGUUAGUCUGUGGUAGUCUGCAUCUGCUCCCGUCAGUUGCUGGAUGAAGUCUCUCUGCUCCCCUUGAUGAUGAAUCUGCUGGACUCCAGGCUCAGCACACUCUACACUCUGCCUGCAGAAGGUUUGUAAAGAGUUAUGUUGGGGGAGAUCCAAGAUGGUGGGAACCAGCAUGCACCACAUCUGAGGGGCAGAAGAUCUGAAACUUCGAAAUUG